rnacentral:rRNA from 1 species
UACGAAGGGGGCUAGCGUUGUUCGGAAUCACUGGGCGUAAAGGGCGCGUAGGCGGCUUUAUAAGUCGGGGGUGAAAGCCUGUGGCUCAACCACAGAAUUGCCUUCGAUACUGUAGAGCUUGAGACCGGAAGAGGUUAGUGGAACUGCGAGUGUAGAGGUGAAAUUCGUAGAUAUUCGCAAGAACACCAGUGGCGAAGGCGGCCUUCUGGACUGUCCCUGACGCUGAGGCGCGAAAGCCAGGGGAGCGGAACAGG